AAGAAAAAAGAUUUCUUCCUUACGAAUGUUACAGUUUUUUAACAGUUAAGUACUUAAGAGAAAAAAGCAGAGGUUCUGUUGAACCCUAUUUCUCAAUUCUCCGUCGCCGUCGCGGAUCUCAUGGUCGAGUUUUUCUCCGACGCCUCUCCGGUGGACGCAUUUGAAUUCCGAUGGAUAUGGUUCCGAUUCCUGUGGGGAGUUACAAGAUUCGGUUCAUAGGAGCUGGGAAAUUGGCGGAGAGAGAAUCGCCAGAUGGAUCGGGUGUUCUUCCGCCCCACCGCCGUUCACUCCAACUCCGACCGCCGUUUCGUCUUCGAAUCGUUCCGCGUCAAUAUCGUCUCUAGCGACGAAGCUGUAUGUGCAUCGGCGACAGAAGAGAAUGGGGAGGAGGAGAGCUGAUGAGACAUUGUUCCGAUCUCCUUUCCCCUCGCUCAUCUUCAUGCAUCCCAAGCUGUCAGUAAUGCUUCCAUUGCUCAUCUUAUGUGUUUCCUGGAAGUGGUCGUAAUCUUAGCGUAUGAAGCAUUAGCCGGUGGAGGCGUGGCUGCGGGCCUAAUCCCCGUUCGAGAUCUUGCAACGGGUAUAGCUUCACAUCUUUAAAACGCCGAUAAAGCCCAACACUUUUGUUUAUGUUGCAGGUUCGAGGAGCAGCAUAGCAUCAAUGGCCGGCAAAACAGGGGAAGCCAAUUACUCCUUUUAACUUUAUUUUGGCAUAUCACCUCACAUUUCUAUAUACACCUUACUGUUGAUCAUGUAGGGUUACAUUAUAUAAUUUUGCCUCAUUAUGAAUCAUGGCAUUAGUCCGUGUAAUGCAUCCCUGUAUUCUGUCUUCAUACCAUUCAAGAUCAAAAUCACACUUGGGUUGGGAUC